ensembl:lncRNA
GUGUAUGAGAGAGUAGGAGUGUGUGUGUGUGUGUGUGUGUCUGUGUGGGUGUGUGUAUGAGAGAGUAGGAGUGAGUGAGUGUGUGUGUGUGUCUGUGUGGGUGUGUGUAUGAGAGAGUAGGAGUGUGUGUGUGUGUGUGUGUGUGUGUCUGUGUGGGUGUGUGUAUGAGAGAGUAGGAGUGUGUGUGUGUGUGUGUGUCUGUGUGGGUGUGUGUAUGAGAGAGUAGGAGUGUGUGUGUGUGUGUGUGUCUGUGUGGGUGUGUGUAUGAGAGAGUAGGAGUGUGUAUGUGUGUGUCUGUGUGGGUGUGUGU